rnacentral:rRNA from 1 species
UACGGGGGGGGCAAGCGUUGUUCGGAUUCACUGGGCGUAAAGGGUGCGCAGGUGGGUUUGCAAGUUCGAUGUGAAAGCCCCGGGCUUAACCCGGGAAUGGCAUUGGAUACUGCAGAUCUGGAGGUUCGGAGGGGGGACUGGAAUUCUUGGUGUAGCAGUGAAAUGCGUAGAUAUCAAGAGGAACACCAGUGGCGAAGGCGAGUCCCUGGACGACACCUGACACUGAGGCACGAAAGCUAGGGGAGCAAACAGG